GCCUGGGUGGCUCAGUCGGUUAAGCGUCCGACUUCGGUUCAGGUCACGAUCUCCCGGUUCGUGGGUUCGAGCCCCGCGUCGGGCU
rnacentral:tRNA from 1 species